rnacentral:rRNA from 1 species
UACGAAGGGGGCUAGCGUUGCUCGGAAUCACUGGGCGUAAAGCGCACGUAGGCGGAUUGUUAAGUCAGGGGUGAAAUCCUGGAGCUCAACUCCAGAACUGCCUUUGAUACUGGCGAUCUUGAGUUCGGGAGAGGUGAGUGGAACUGCGAGUGUAGCGGUGAAAUGCGUAGAUAUCCGGAAGAACACCGAUGGCGAAGGCAACCACCUGGGCCUGCAUUGACGCUGAGGUACGAAAGCGUGGGGAGCAAACAGG